UAGUGCAAAGAUGGUCUAUUCAACAAAUGGUGAUAGAAUAAUUGGAUAUCCAUAUGAAAGCACUUGAAGUGGAUAAAAAUAUAUAUAUUUAUUGUAUACUUAAGUCAAUUCAAAAGGGAAUCAUAGACCUAAAGGUGUAACACUUCUAGAGGAAAUCAUAGGAGAAAACCAUCAUGAAACUAGGACAGGUAAAGAUUUUGUACAUGAACUAUUUAAAAGGAUGAACCAUAAAAGUAAUUGAUUAUUUCCAUGGGAGAGAUUCAUAAAGAUGAAAUCAAUCACCAUACAAAUUUUUAUGAAUCUUUAUAAUACAUAGUGCCAAAUUAAGAAAGCUUCUAAAUAAACAUGAUUAUUUUAUCGCAUAAGAAGAGGAAUUGCAAUAUUAAAACUAUUGAUUUUGAAGAUUUAAAAAUUUCUAUUGGAUGUAGUCUUCUCUUUGCAAAAAAGCAGCACCUUAUUUUCCUAAGCAAAACAAUAAAAAAUGAAACAAACACACCACCCCAAAGUCCUUUCCCUAAACAGAAUACGC
rnacentral:lncRNA from 1 species